ensembl:lncRNA
ACGGCGGCUCGCCUCCCAGAAGGUUCCGCGGACAGCCGCAGACCCCCACGCGCGCCCUCCGCGCCGGCUUUCCCGCGUGCAAACGGGAGUGGGGGGCGCCAAGGGGCCCAGGUGAUGCUUCCAGGACAGCGGGUGAGGUUCCAGCGCAGGGAAGAAGUUGACAAAGGGGACUUGACUAAACACGAAUGCAUAUUUAUAGACGCGAGCUCCAUCAAGAUCUAGAGAUAGUCUCCUUCUCCCUGCCUCCUUCCCCUCCUGCCAUUUCAUUUUAUCGCUCCUUGAAGUGGAGGGCAGAUUGUUUUCUUUAAAAAAAAAAAUAAAUAAUAACAUUCCUGCCCGGUGUGGGUCAUCGCCGCGUUAUUUACAAUCUAGUUACUCGGCAGCAGACGGGGAAGCCAACUCCGGGCUCUUUCCCCUUCGGAUGGACAGAGAGGGCGACCGGGCGGCCCGCGGCAGGAAGGAGGCUUCUUAAUCAUCCACGGUGUAAAGACACACUUCAAGAGGAUCUUUAGAAGUGUUGGACAAGCUUCACCACGCGUGGCAGAGCCAUCCAACCUGUUCUUCCCAGUGUUAAAGAACUUGCCUGCCGAUGCAGGAGACAAAAGAGAUCUCAGAAGAUCCCCUGGAGGAGGGCGUGGCAAUCCGUUUCAGUGUUCUUGCCUGGGAAAUCCCAUGAACAGAGGAGCCUAGCAGUCCAUAGGGUUGCAAAGAGUUGGACAUGACUGAAAUGACUUACUACGCAUGCAGCCAGUUCUUAGGACUUUAAAAAAAUUUUUGGUUUUGGUCUAGCCCUUUUCUUUGGAAUUUCAUGCCUAUUCAAUGAAGGUGCCUUAAUUGAAUCUCCUAGUUUAACAUCUGAUCAUUUAAGCUCCACUAGGUGUGAUCACUGACCUAGAGCCAGACAUCCUGGAAUGUGAAGUCAAGUGGGCCUUAGAAAGCAUCACUAUGAACAAAGCUAGUAGAGGUGAUGGAAUUCCAGUUGAGCUAUUCCAAAUCCUGAAAGAUGAUGCUGUGAAAGUGCUGCACUCAAUAUGCCAGCAAAUUUGGAAAACUCAGCAGUGGCCACGGGACUGGAAAAGGUCAGUUUUCAUUCCAAUCCCAAAGAAAGGCAAUGCCAAAGAAUGCUCAAACUACACACAAUUGCACUCAUCUCACACGCUAGUAAAGUAAUGCUCAAAAUUCUCCAAGCCAGGCUUCAGCAAUAUGUGAA